UGCUCGGCAACUAUUUCUAGGUCUAGGACUACUGUAGACUUUAUUAGUUUAUAUGAUUAUACAACCGCGUGAUAUUUGGUUCUUUUUUUACUAUUACUAUGUGCAAAGUUAAAUUUGAUGUGCUACGUUUGGAAUAUUCUUAUUUCUCCAAGUGAACGGAAAUUAACGAAAUUAGAGAGUUCGGAAAGUAUAAGUGUCAGUGAAGAUCUAUAUAUAUUUUAGAACUAUGGAAGAUUUAGGAUUGGCAAUGUUUGGGGGUUACUGGCUUUGGCUCCACAAUGGCUUCAGUGAUUAAACCUCAGUCUGACUCCAGCAGCCCUUCCUCAGUUCCUGAACAACAGAAUCCUAUGGCAAACUAGGAUAACAUUAUUUAUGUAAGGUAGUAACUAAAGUAACAUAAUUUAUCUACUUAUGCAUUAAUAUGUUUGGAAUAUUAGAACUGUGAUUUUUGUUUUUGUCCAUCAAUUUAUAUAAAUAAACAGCUUUUUCAACAGGUGAAA
rnacentral:lncRNA from 1 species